rnacentral:snoRNA from 2 species
AAACCAUGAUGAGGACAUUGCGUCUGAUAACCUUUGAAGCGCUCUCAUGCUUCAUAGAAAGUCUCAUUAUUUUGUCUUUGUGAAACCGGAAAUAUCAUUCCGUAGUCU